GGCGAUCAGAUACCGCCCUAGUUCUGACCGUAAACGAUGCCAACUAGCGAUCCGCCAGUCGACUCAUCGCUCUGGUGGGGAGCUUCCCGGAAACGAAAGUCUUCCGGUUCCGGGGGAAGUAUGGUUGCAAAGCUGAAACUUAAGGGAAUUGACGGAAGGGCACCACCAGGAGUGGAGCCUGCGGCUUAAUUUGACUCAACACGGGGAAACUCACCCGGCCCGGACACCGUAAGGAUUGACAGAUUGAUAGCUUUUUCAUGAUUCGGUGGAUGGUGGUGCAUGGCCGUUCUUAGUUCGUGGAGCGAUUUGUCUGGUUUAUUCCGAUAACGAGCGAGACUCUGGCCUACUAAAUAGUUGACGCAUUGCCACUGUGCGCACAACUUCUUAGAGGGAUUUUCGGUGUUUUCAACCGCACGAAAUUGAGCAAUAACAGGUCUGUGAUGCCCUUAGAUGUCCGGGGCUGCACGCGCGCUACACUGGCAAACGCAACGUGCCUGUCCUGCCCCGAAAGGAGCGGGUAAACCCCUGAAAUUUUGCCGUGAUUGGGAUCGGACAUUGCAACUAUUGUCCGUGAACGAGGAAUUCCUUGUAGGGGCGAGUCAUCAACUCGUCCCGAAUACGUCCCUGCCCUUUGUA
rnacentral:rRNA from 1 species